rnacentral:rRNA from 1 species
CAACGCCGCGUGAAGGGACUGAAGGGCCUUCGGGUCGUAAACCUCGUUUUCUCAGGGAAGAUAACUGUACGGUACCUGAGGAAGAAGCCACCGGCUAACUCGUGC